rnacentral:rRNA from 1 species
CACGAAGGGGGCUAGCGUUGCUCGGAAUCACUGGGCGUAAAGGGUGCGUAGGCGGGUCUUUAAGUCAGGGGUGAAAUCCUGGAGCUCAACUCCAGAACUGCCUUUGAUACUGAAGAUCUUGAGUCCGGGAGAGGUGAGUGGAACUGCGAGUGUAGAGGUGAAAUUCGUAGAUAUUCGCAAGAACACCAGUGGCGAAGGCGGCUCACUGGCCCGGUACUGACGCUGAGGCACGAAAGCGUGGGGAGCAAACAGG